rnacentral:rRNA from 1 species
AACGUAGGACGCAAGCGUUAUCCGGAGUUACUGGGCGUAAAGCGCGGGCAGGCGGUCUUGCCAGUCUGAUGUGAAAUCUCCUCGCUCAACGGGGAGCAGCCAUUGGAAACUACAAGACUGGAGUCUGGCAGAGGUAGGCGGAAUUCCGGGUGGAGUGGUGAAAUGCGUAGAGAUCCGGAGGAACACCAGAGGUGAAGGCGGCCUACUGGGCCAGUACUGACGCUGAGCCGCGAAAGCCAGGGGAGCGAACGGG